CGUAGCGUUCGACUUAAAGAGAGAACGACGAACGACGAAGAAAAGACGGAGCGAUCGAUCGGCUGUGUUGAAGCGGUAGAGAGAUAAAGAGCGUAGAUGCGGAUCCGUCGAGCGGAUUUUUAUCGUGCACGCGUCACGCGUAAUAUUCGCUGGCUAGAACAAGGAAAUAGAGGUAAAGUCUAAGACAAGGAACAAGAGAGUCAGCCAUUUUAUGAAACGGCAGAGCUGCCUCGUCUCGUUGCCAUGAGAGCGCGCCACGUUCAGAUCUUUUGGCGAAAAACUACGAGACGAUUUUAUAACCGAGACGUCAGCUUCGAGAUUUCUCGUUGAAAUUUCGCGUGAUUCUCCAACAUCGAUCGACGAGCAGACCAAAAACGGAAUUAGGAUCAAAUCGCAGCCAACUUGCGCGCUUUCGUUGAUUCUACGCGUCUUUGCUUGCCGUUCCUCCAGUAUAUUUUAGUUAUUUUUCCAUCGUGCCUCGUUAUUCCGUGCUAGCUACGACGAUAACGCGAUAUCCUUUUUCCCGCGUUUCCGUUUGUUUUUGUUUCCGUUUUUGUAGUCAUUUCCGCUUCCGGUUUCGUUUUCAUUUGGCCGUCUGCGUCGUUUCUUUUUUUUCCACGAGGAGACAACGUGGCGUAGCGUAGUCGUGGAAACGGGAUAAUCUUCGUCUCAUGUUCGUUCUUCCGAGUAAGUUUUAGUCGCACGUUCGAUCCACUUGCGCUCGAUAACGUUUCAUCUUUUCAAUCCGUAAUUUCCGUGUUUUCCGACCUCGUGGCUUCCCCUUCCCUUCUUUUCCCUUCCCUUCCCUUUCCUCUGCCGUCUUUACGCGCACGCUUCACUGUGUCGCGAAGGUGGCAGAUGGACGAAAAGAGAAACCAAUAGCAGGAGAAGGUCGAACAGAGAGGGAGAUGCCGCGUUGUAGGAAGAAGGAAGGAAAAGCGAGCGAACUGGGACCCGAGCGAGAAAGAACAGAAGGAACGAAGCGGGAGACGGGUGGGAGCGAGCGAGCAUCGACAGGGGGAAGGGGAGAAAGAGAGAGAUAGAACAGGGAAUCCACGAGCGAUCGACUGCCCUAGUCAGUCCUCGUCCGUCUGCCGGUCGGUCGUUUACGUUUAUGUUUGACAGCUUGUGAAUUCGCGUCACUCGAGCUUCGACCAGCCAGUGCUUCGUCUGUGUGUGUGUGGAUGUGUAUGUGUGCCGUCUCAUCUACCUACACGCUCGAUCAAAAAAAUGAAUUUCUUCUCGACCGACUUGCCGAUAUCAAUCGAGACUUUUCUCUUUUUCCUGGAUCGUUCGAUUUUUCGAAUCGAUGCCUCGCAUCGAUAUUUUCCGAUCAUCUUAAAAGACACUUUUAUCCGUUCACGCUAGUUACCGGACUUCGACGAUUCUCCGAUUUUCAAAGGAAAAAAAGAUCUCGGAUAGAAAGUCGUAAGAAAUGUUUGGCUGAGACAUUCUGUUAGCCGUUUAAACCCACGUUCCACGCAGUUGAUAGAGAGUCGCGCGAGUAUACGCGUACCAGAAGCAAGAUGACGAAACUGAGAAAGUUAGAAAAUGACGGAGUUGAUCGCAGGCUCCCGAGAGUUGGCUACCUACCGUUUGGAACAUGCAGCAACAGCAGGCGAGAAAAAGUUGUUGGUCGUUGGUUGGCUCGGUGAGGACGCAGCUUAAUAGACGCAGGAUCACGCGUCGAAAGUUUCGGACGAUCAGUGAACUUGAAAGCGGUACCACGAUGAAUCCGCGAAAGUAGGAGCAACGACCACGCGAAGGGAAUGCUGUUCGACUUCCACGCGCGCACGUUACGUGACAAUAUGCCCCCGAAGCUCCGUUUUCUGGCUAAACUACCGAUGCGAACGAUGCCAUCGUGCGCGCGCGCUAAUCGUUCGUAGAAAGUUCAGCAACCUCUGCCGACGUUUCGUCUCGUGGCCCUCUUUCUCCUUCCUUGCCUCUCUCGAUAGCCAACUACUUCGAUCGGCGUACCGAACGUAUUUAACGCUCGAUUCCAUGACGAGCUUCCUGUGCCACGGAACGAGCUGCCAUUCCUCGCCAAUACCGUCGCUACGUUAGAACGUGUCGCGAAUUUCGUGGAACGGUGAACGGUCGACCUUGUAAGCCCGACUAGAAAGCUAUACACAGGGUGUUCCAGUAUUGAUGGUAGAACCGAGGAGGGGCUGGUUCCGUGUUUAAAAAAUGGAUCGAGAAUAUAGAAUACAUUUUUCUUUUUUUUAAUUUCAGGCUUGGAAAUCAUUUCAGACUUUCGAGAAAACUGACUCGAAAGCCUGGUCUUAAAGAAAGUAGAAUUUUCUCCGCGUUUAAUUAAGAAUUCGGUUGGUUCACGCGUGCUCCAUCAAGUUUCUAGUUUCAUUUUCUCGCAAACGAAACAUCCUACAAAAAGUAUCGUUUAUUAUCCACAUUUUUUACUUAUUUUCAUACGUAGAACAAAUUCUUGUCGGUUCUUCGCUUCCAUCCAGACCGGAAUCAGCCAGGUUCCAAUGCUUUUGAUUUUCAUCAAAUUUUCAAACACGAUUUUUAUCGAAUACGAAGCAAAGUCUCGAUAGCUCGAAUAAAAUUUUAUUUUAUAAUUUUAAUUUGUUCUUUUUCGCGUAGGAUCACCUUCUUGCCGAUUGUAUCGUGAAUACCGGAACAUCCUGUACGCCGUGCUAAAGCGAUCGUCGUUCGCGAUGCUUCGAAUUUGCCCUCCUUUCGUAUCGCACACAUAAUCGUUGCUGGUUUUCUCGACACUCCUUUUCACUCGUUUCAUCCCGCGUAAUAUUCCUCUCGACUAGUUGCUCUUCGGUUCUCCGUCUCGCUCAUUGUCCACGCUUAUUCACCGCGAUGCGCUGUUUCGCUCGUUCAAUUACGCACUUCGUCGGAAUGCCGAGGGAGAAACGAAUUCCAAGAGUGGCAGCCUUGUCAAGGUGUUCCCCGCGCCACUCCUGCAUGGAAAAACUUUUCUACUACGUAAGUACGUGAUUUCGAUGAUGCGUUGAUAAUGAUCGAACAAAAGAGCCGCGUGCCGAUUCCUUCGUUGCGCGUAUACGCGCAUAAACGAUCUCGUAAUAUUUUUCGACUAUAACGUGUAGUUACGUAAGAGCGUUUGCACCGCGUCAUUUUGAUUAUUGCUCGAUGGAAUGGAAAAGUCAGCCAUUUGCCGUAAAUCGAAUGGCUCUUUCGCGGAAGGAACGGACAUAAAGGGAGACGAAUAUGUUAUUGCGAAUUAUAAGAGAGAUUGUAAAAAGGAUUAUAUAAUGCGUGUUUCCUGGGAUUUUUUGAUCCGAGGAUUCGCGUCGGUGUAAUAUUUGUAUAUAUUUGAAAAGAAUUUUCGCAGCCUGGAUAAAACGCAUGCUGAUCGACGAUGCGUGUGAUGUACGCGUGCAUACAUGCGUAUAUGUAUGCUCGUGUACCUCGAUCCACAUCUGCACGCGAGAUUCUCUGGAGGGGUCUGUCACGCGUACAAAUAGCUGACCUCGCUUCGUCGCCUCUAUCAAUGGUUGGACAGUGGACUGAAUGACUUUUAUGCCUCUCUUCCUCUUACUACGCCCUGUCGCGUGAUAGCCUUCGCUCCGUUUCUUCGAAUCCUUUUUCCCACCACCGCUCCACCCAGUGGAAAAAACCUACCGCGACGUAAUAACCGAUGAAAUUUCAAAAAUUACUUUCAACAGGGAAAUAUCGCGAUAUUUUCAAGGGAAAUUGCAUCUCCUCCUUGUCACUAUGUCGGGAAUGACGUAUACGGUAGGCGGAAAACUAUAGCAGCACGUUCCAUUCUACGCGAGAACGUGUUUGCUUUUGAACGUUCCGUUUCUCAACGGUAGAUAAGGUAGAGAACACUGUUGGUAACGAAGAUCGCGUCGCUGGUGAAGCAGCAGCGAAUACGAACGACUACCACCUAUACCUUCGUUUAGUAAGCCAACUCGGAAACCACCAGUCGAUAACGCGAUCGUCUACCGCGUCGGUACUUUAUAUUUUUGUGGAAGUUGAUGGACAACACGUUCAGGUAUAAAAAAAAUAACUCUGAUAGACUUUUUCUUCAACCUAGAGGGAAUUUCAAUGCAACCAACAAUAAUCGAAAGAUGUAACGAAAUUCCGCUUGUUCGUCUAAUAAGCCGUUGCUCAAACUUUUGCACAAAGACCUUCAGCAAUCGGUUAUGUUGCGAUAUUGUGGCAAACCUCGCUCGUUAACUUUUACGACCGGCUGAACGAGAAGGAGCGUGUCUCGUGAUCGCAUCGCGUUAAUUGGAUAAAAGAAAAACGACGAAACGGUUCUCGGAAGGAUUCGAUAGGAUACGCGUAACCAGCAACGAAUCUAUACAGUGUUACGAAUCGUUACGAUAUCUCGCGUCGUAUAUCUUCGUCAAUUUCGUAUCUGUUAAACUCGUGACUUUAUGCAAACAGAAGAGCAGAGAAAUAUCAUCGGUCGUUGAGAUCCUACAACGCGAAUUUCUCAGGGUCAGCCUCGUCGUUGUUUGCCGUUUAUACUUUCGCGAUCGUCCAGGGCUCUUUUCCUUCGUCUUGUCCGGUUCCACGGAAUCGUCAUGGGGUCGCAGGGUCACGUCGUAUCUUUAUCAGGGCCUGGUGUAACCGUCAACGCGUUAUCGACUUGCCGAUAACGCACGUGCAAAAUAGUAUACGUCGAUUGAUCCUCACGUUCGGUUAUUAGCGUGAGCUUGCAAAAAGAAAAGAAAGAAAAAAUGAAAGAGAAAAAGAACUCGGCCGACUCUAGCUCCUGUAUGGAUUUACGAUUUCUCCGUCAUCGCGGCCUCGUUAUUAAUGAGCCGCGCUAUCGCAUUCCACGAUAAUGGAAAUGUUGUGCGGUCUGAAAAAUACAAGGCUUCUUUAAUCGAUGAUGCUUAGCCUGGCUAAGAAUCGGACAAUUUUUUGGAAGAACGUAGAAGGAAAACGUAUUUGCAACCACGCACAAUCUACCGAUUCAGUCUCAGACAAACAUUUCCAAAUAUAACCUACAAAUUUAAGAUAUUCCAUCGGUACAUAACAUUUAAUUAACUGAACGAAGAAGUUGCGAACCAUAGAUGGCAUCGCUAAUCUUCAGCGUGAAACAAAGAUUGUCAAAAGAUAGUAAUAUUAAUCUUAUUUGUUUUAGACGUAACAUAAGCGAGUCAACGGCUCUAUUCGAUUCGUAAUACCGCUGCAAACUCAAUGAUCAAACAGAAAAGCUAGAUCGCCAGCUGUUCCUCCAAUAUCGACACAUUUCAUAGAAAGUUUGUUCGUUAUUAGGACGUAGCCGUGAUUAUCAGACUGCGAAUUUUCAAGUAACAUAGAAAAAUGUAUAAAAUAUUCAAACUAUAAUACUUACCUAUCCGUUUAAUCGUAGAAACUCGUAGAUAUAAUAAUUUGCAUGAAUAUCCGAGGUCUCGUAAUGACUUUUUCGGUGAUAGUCUCGUUGAAAAUUAGGUUUCACUCGCUGCUAACAACUCGCUAUGGGACAAAGCACGGGAAAAUCGUCGACAGGUAGUCGACGAUAGCGAUCAUCGUUCAACGCACAUAAGACUACCGUAAAAGACGAAACUGGUUUUCACAAUGAUUUGACAGAUAGAUUUGAUUCUGAGAUCAUUGUGAAAGCUGAUUUUGUUUGGAAGUCGCUGAAAUACAUCGCAGGAGAGACACGACGAGGAUGGGACAGGAAACGCGCGUUCCUCUCAGAUCUUGGAAACGAUCGAAUCACGGAGAUCGCGUGCCUUCUUCAUUCACCGUCUCAGGGUGUAAUUGUUGACGGAUAAAUAAAUUGUACGCACAAAGGAGCCUCUGUCUCGCGAGCAUUGCACGUCGCAGCACACGCUUCACGGCGCGCGCCUCGAAAUUUAUGAUUCAUCGAGGAGAAAACGACUACAAGAGGAGAGGAAAAGAUGGAGGAACGCUAUAAAGCAAAGAAUUGCUCGAUCUUUCCAAUCGAUAUUGCCACGUUCAUGGAAACUGCGAUGAUCAUACAACGAUAUCUGGUACGGUCGUUGGAAAAAUGAAGGGGAAAGCGAGGACUGAAAAUGAUUGGUUUAGACUAGAUAAAUCCUUACGAUGUCACCGGAUCGACCUAAAUUCGUCGAUCAUCUCUGAUAUAACCACCAAAUUUCCAAUCGAAUGGCACGCACAUAACACUAGGACUGCACUUAGACACACAAUUUACAUGGAAACAACAUACUAAGUGAAUUAUAGACAAAAUACGGAUAAAAAGAAGACAAAUGUACUGGCUAACUAGUCGAAACUCUAAACUCAGCAUAGAAUAUAAACUAAAAAUCUACAAAACGAUAGUAAAACCAAUUUGGACGUACGGAAUACCGCUACGGAAGACAGCAGCAACGAGCCACAUAAAUAAACUAGAGUCGCUACAAUCGAAGAUACUGAGAACGAUAGCCAACGUCCCAUGGUAUGUCAGAAACGAAGAUGUACGCAAAGAAUCAAAGAUACCAAAGGCCAAAGAAGAGAUCGGCAGGUACGCGGAAAAAUACAAGCAAAGAACGACGUCGCAUCCAAAGCAGCUGGCUGCUGAAGCGAGCAAAACUCUGAUAGGAAGAAGACUAAAAAGGAAACGCCCCACUGACCUCGCCAAAGAAAAUCUGCGAUACGUACGUAAAGAUUUACAUAAAGAUAUCUUCGAUGUAUACGCCGUACAUCUAUUUUUAGUAGAUUUUCGUGACUGAUCGUAUAUGUUCGAAUCUGCGAGUUAAUAUUUCGGAUCCGCUGUGUCUUGACACCGAGGCAAAUUUCAUCCGGUAAGAGCAUCGAUGUUAUUCGAAAGAACAUCGAAGAGGAAGAAAAAUCAGACGAGCGUGGUCUGUUUUCGUGGUUUUCUCGAGGAAACAAGCGGAUGCAGGCUGCUGGGCCGUCAAUCGAGUAUCUAGAGCACGAACGAGCAACGUGGUUUUUUGUCGGAAUUUCCGGUAGUGAUUUAUCAAACGGGAAGAUGGUAUCGAACGAAGAAGCAACGGCAAGAAACGACUUCUCGCGGAGAGGCCGAAGAAACUAGAGAAGCGGAAGCGAAGAAAGAAGGGAAGGCAGAAGAAACGAAAGAAGAUGGCUCGCGAGUGCUGCAGCAGCAGGCUAUCCCGCGCGAACUCGGAACGCAUCGUGCUAUGCGGCCGGCCAUGUAUGCAUGCUCGAGCGCUAUCAAGUGUCAAACGAACCGAACUUAAGAAAAACCAAACGUUCGAGCUACAGCCGUGGAAUUUUGAGAGAACGCAGCCAGACAAGAGCGAGAAAGAGAGAAGAGAAACUCUAGAUUCUAGAGAUGGUAUCCGUCCUAACAGUCAUCUACACCGUCAUGACUCUUAGACGAUGGGUUGCUUUCGACCCUCUUAGCGCAUCAUAUUCUUGACAGCUCGGGGAAAGGACGACGAGAGUGUUCUCCAGCUCGAUCGCCGGAAUCUAACCCCUUUUCUUCUCCACUUUGUUCCUACAGAUCGAGUUUACCACCAGGUGACCACGUAAUACACGGUGGCUGCGAAAAUUACUCGCACGUACCUUGGUCAUUCGAUGAAGCGUUUUCUCGUCGGGUUUCGUCUUUCGUUUUCACAGUAUUAGCAUUUUUCCAGUCGUACGAGAAUACUAUCAAAUCGUACGAAACUCGAUACGCUUGCUCUUAAGUGGUAUCGAUACAAAUACCGUACAGCGUGGGCCUGAAUACGCUCGUCUAGCUGCAACUUGACCGAUCGUACUUGACGAAUUUACAAAUCCAAUCUUCUGAAAGCUAAAGCCUCUAAAGUAUCUCGUUAUUCUUAAUUUUUGUUUUAUUCGGGGCCGAAGGAUCUCCUCGUUCGACUUCGUUUAUGUCUCGAAUUUAGGCCCACGGUGUAGCGAGGAUAGCUUCUUGAAACCUGUAUCGAAGCCAAUAGAGAAAUCGUUCUCUCAUCGUCUGGCAUUUCUUUCAGGUUCGUCAUGAUCAUCGGUGCGAUAAUACAACCGUGCACACGCAUCCACGCGUCCUUGGACGUAGAACGAUAUUCGAUGCAGUCAUAGACUUAGGCCAACCUAGGUCCAUUUUGUUACGGAUGUACGAGAAGGAGCGAGUUUCACUACUUUUUCUUUAUUUCUUCUCAGCGACUUGAGCGGUGGCUCGUAAAAGAAAUCCUUGGCAAAUUGGGCCACGAGACGGGACAUGGUCGUUCUCGUGUUUCGAGUCGAUAAACUUGUGGCCGGCGUGCCUCGACGGCCACGAAAUCACGCGAGAUUUAUUCUCCUUCCUCCUUUCUCUCCUGGUCCGGUCUGACGUUAUUUUGACAGGACCGCGAGAAAAUUUAUCGAGGAGAGCGUAAAGGCGGUGGCAGCUACGCGGCACCGACAAUGUUUUGAGCUAUUAGACGAAACAAGUCACUGGUCUUUUACGAGCAGUUGCGGUGACCCACAGCGCCACGUUCCACCACCAUCUUCGAUCGUAAAUCCAAUUGGUAAAACAGGGAAAAUACAGUUCGUACAUGUAUGGGGAGAACUGCGAAAAGACAACUGGAUGAUAGAAGUUGCCUCGAGUAUCCGAAACGCAAUUUUUAUUUUCGAUGUUACUUAUUCCGUAUUCGUAUGUAAUUACGAUUUUAUAUAAGGUAUUCGAUUAAAUAAUUAUAUGAUAAAUGGUAUAUCGCGUUAUAUCGCGUCACAUUACGUUAUAAAAUUGAAAUCAACCAUUCUAUACGCCAUUGUACGUUACAUCAUCUUACAUAAAUAAAAAA
rnacentral:lncRNA from 1 species